CCACUGAAAGCUAGGGUGGCCAUCCUAGAGGACUUUCUGGUUUUCUGCCCCUCUGCCCUCUCUUUGUAUGAACCCCACCGCCUUUACGGCCUCUAUUUUAAAAAUAGAGGCUGGAAAGGCGCCCGGUUUCGUAUCAAGAGAGGACAGAGGACAACCAGACUGUCCUCCUGGAUGACCACCAGUGGCGACGUGUAGGGGCUGCAGGGGGGUGAAUGUGCACCCCCUGAGAGCGCCAGUGCACCCCCUGGCAGGCUGUGCUCACCACUUAGGUGAGGGGUGCGGGGGGGGCAAGCGGGAGCGCCGGUGCCCCCCCUGCUAGUGCUGCUGGGGAGUGGGAGCACUGCAGCUGCUUCCAGGAGCCUGCAGCCACUUCACAGUCAGCUGCAGGCAGGGACCCUCCAGUCAGCAAGAUUGGCUGCAUGGGGACUCUCCCCCGGUUGAUGACUGGUGCCCCCACCCGACUAAUGUGGCACCAGUCGCCCAUGAUGGCCACCCUACUGAAAGCUCAGAGGACUCUUGCACCCAUGCAAAGCUGGUGAGGUCAAGUUGACUCCCAAGUCAGUCAAGUCCCCUCAGGGGUGAUGGGUCUGCUCCAGCAUCAUGGCCCCCUUCUUCAAGCCCAGCUCUUAGAAGGGAGAGCUAGUUGCUGCCCUCCCUCCCUGCACUGGACAAAAUCUAAAGGGGAAUUUUGGCUUUCUAGUGCUUCCUUUCCAGGCGGGGAGAGCCCAGAAAUCAGUCAGAUGCAGGCUGCUCAGAGAGGUAAGCUUUGUCCUGGUAGUUCCUAAAAGUCACAGUUGUGAUGCAGCCACUGCGGGCAGAUCCCCAAAACGAUGACGGUCUUGUGAGUGGAUUCACUCAGCACAAGCUUCCCUCAGCAGAACCAUCUCCACUGCUAAACAGUCACCCUAACCUUUGUUUGCAAAGAAAAGACGCUGUCAUGUGAGAAUCAGCAAGGCCUAAGCAGAGAACUGAGAGCAGGAGGGACUCAUCUCAGCUCUGACACUGACUCUUAGGGUGACAUCCACAUUUCUCUGAUGUCCCUGGGUCAGACUUGAAGUCCCAAAGUUGUCUAAGUUCUACGUGCAUGCACUUCUCUUGUACAAAACGAUUUAUCCUACAUCAAGAAAUGCAAAAAUCUGGAACUCUUGGUUCCAAUAUGAUACCUUUUACUAAACCAAAUGCAGAACCAGGUAGCUGAGGGUGCAGUGACUUAUUUACACUAAACAAAUGAAUCUCAGAGCAUUUUAAGUUUCCUGCAUGACUAAUUUUUAGUGUGCUUUAUAUUAGGGCCUUGUUUUACAAUCUGUUCCACAUUUGGACUUUGGCUAGUUGAGGGAUAUGCUUCUCUGUGUUAAGUUACAUAGGUCGAGAUUCUCCGAUUUGGCUCUUUGAGGUGAGUUUAAAUCCAGCACCUGUAUUUCCCAUGUAAUUUAAUAGGAGCUGAAGAAGGACCAUCCCUUCUGAAAUCUGUUCAUUUUCAUUUAGGUGCCUCUAUGUAGAUUUACAUGCUUAUACCCAAGUUUAAAUAUGCUGGUUUUAAUCUCUGUGCUGCAUUUUCAACAGCUUUGAAAUGAGUAUAAUAAAAUCCUCACAAACUUGA